AUUUCAAUAGCUUAAUAAAAGAGUUUUGUAAUGAAGGUACAAGGGUGAUGAUUUUUUCUUGGGAUG
rnacentral:tRNA from 1 species